rnacentral:rRNA from 1 species
UAUCUCUGUAGAGUCUGCAUAUCAAUAAGCGGAGGAAAAGAAACUAACUAGGAUUCCCUUAGUAACGGCGAGUGAAGCGGGAAGAGCUCAAAUUUGAAAUCUUCAAGGUUCUACCUUGACGAAUUGUAGUUUAAAGAAGUGUUUUCUGUUGGAGUUUUGGUAAAAGUUCUUGGAAUAGGACAUCAUAGAGGGUGAGAAUCCCGUAUUUGACCAUUUCUUCCAGCUGUGUGAUACACUUUCAAAGAGUCGGAUUGUUUGGGAAUGCAGUCCAAAAUGGGUGGUAAAUUUCAUCUAAAGCUAAAUAUUGGCGAGAGACCGAUAGCGAACAAGUACCGUGAGGGAAAGAUGAAAAGAACUUUGAAAAGAGAGUUAAACAGUACGUGAAAUUGUCAAAAGGGAAGCGUUUGACACCAGUGUUGUUUUCUCGAAAAUCAAUUAAAAAUGGCCGGAUUUUGUGUUGUAUUGACUUUAUCAGCUUUCUGCACUUUUUUCUUGUCUUUUUUAAUGCACUUUUCGUUUAACAAGUCAACAUCAAUUUCUUUUGUUGUAAAAGAGUCAUUGGAAGGUGGCUUUCACUUCGGUGAAAGUGUUUAUAGCCUUUGGCUUCUGCAAUCGGAGAGAUUGAGGUCUGCAGCGUAGAUCCUUCGGGGUUAGAUACAUUUGUGCUAAGUUAUAGUUUUUCAUAGACAACAUGUUGACUAUGAUUAAUCAUGUAGCUUACUCGUUAUGCCUAUUUUACCUACGCUUAGGAUGUUGAAUCUGUGCGAGACUAC